rnacentral:rRNA from 1 species
CCUACGGGUGGCUGCAGUGGGGAAUAUUGGACAAUGGGCGAAAGCCUGAUCCAGCCAUGCCGCGUGUGUGAAGAAGGCCUUCGGGUUGUAAAGCACUUUCAGUGGGGAAGAAAGCCUUGGGGCUAAUACCCUCGAGGAAGGACAUCACCCACAGAAGAAGCACCGGCUAACUCCGUGCCAGCAGCCGCGGUAAUACGGAGGCUGCGAGCGUUAAUCGGAAUUACUGGGCGUAAAGCGCGCGUAGGCGGUCUGAUAAGCCGGUUGUGAAAGCCCCGGGCUCAACCUGGGAACGGCAUCCGGAACUGUCAGGCUAGAGUGCAGGAGAGGAAGGUAGAAUUCCCGGUGUAGCGGUGAAAUGCGUAGAGAUCGGGAGGAAUACCAGUGGCGAAGGCGGCCUUCUGGACUGACACUGACGCUGAGGUGCGAAAGCGUGGGUAGCAAACAGGAUUAGAUACCCGGGUAGUC